rnacentral:rRNA from 1 species
GACGGAGGGGGCAAGCGUUGUCCGGAAUCACUGGGCGUAAAGAGCGCGUAGGUGGUUUGGUCAGUCGGCGGUGAAAGCCCCCGGCUCAACCGGGGGAGGACUGCCGAUACUGCCAAACUUGAGGACCGGAGAGGGAAGUGGAAUUCCCGGUGUAGCGGUGAAAUGCGUAGAGAUCGGGAGGAACACCCGUGGCGAAGGCGGCUUCCUGGACGGUCCCUGACGCUGAGGCGCGAAAGCCAGGGGAGCGAACGGG